AUAUGAGUUAUUUGGGGAUCUUGUUAAAAUGCAGAUUCUGAUUAAAUAUGUCUUAGGAUAAGGCCAGAGUUUCUGCAUUUUUAACAAGCUCUCAGGGAAGUCUGAA
rnacentral:pre_miRNA from 1 species